GGAGGAGUGGCCGAGUGGUUUAAGGCAGCGGUCUUGAAAACCGCCAGGUGCAAGCCUCGGGGGUUCGAAUCCCUCCUCCUCCG
rnacentral:tRNA from 1 species